UACGUAGGGUGCAAGCGUUAAUCGGAAUUACUGGGCGUAAAGCGUGCGCAGGCGGUUUUGUAAGUCUGACGUGAAAUCCUCGGGCUCAACCUGGGAAUUGCGUUGGAGACUGCAAGGCUAGAAUCUGGCAGAGGGGGGUAGAAUUCCACGUGUAGCAGUGAAAUGCGUAGAGAUGUGGAGGAACACCGAUGGCGAAGGCAGCCCCCUGGGGUCAAGAUUGACGCUCAUGCACGAAAGCGUGGGGAGCAAACAGG
rnacentral:rRNA from 1 species